CAGACACACACUUACAGCAGCACCACCAGCAGGGUGCGAGUGUUCAUGGCUGCAGAGGAUGAGGAGGUGUGUGCCCCUCGCCGGGACGCGCUCCCUUAAAUACCCGUCCCAAAAGCGAGGGCUGCGCCGCCGGGUCUCCAAGGUUAUUCCAAGGUGUUAUUUCCAGCCCUCUGGAAGCAGUUGAAGGAUGUUGAUAAAAAUUCCCCGGACCGUCCCUGUAAUCUCUCUCUCUCUCUCUCUCUCUCUCUCUCUCUCUCUCUCUCUCUCUCUCUCUCUCUCUCUCUCUCUCUCUCUCUCUCUCUCUCUCUCUCACACACAGAACAAGCGUGUCGAGGGGGGUGGAGGCCAAACAACAAGUAGCUAACCGAUUUAUUGUAUUCAGUCAGAGCAAAGAAAGCAGCAUCGUGUCGCCUGCCGCAAGAGGGAGCAUUGUAAGAGGUGGACUGCGUGUUUCGUGAAGGCGAAUUCAAUGCACGUGGCCACACUGGGCGGUUUCGCCGCGCUGCUGACCACUAUGUUCGACAUUGAUUUCUUUAUUCAGUGCGUUCAAGAGAGGCCAGCUCUCUGGGAGAAAAGUUCAAAAGAGUAUUCCGAUAAAAAUAAGAAAGAAAAAUCAUGGUUUGAGAUUGGAGGAAUAAUUUACAAAGACUGGCCUGAUUUGUAGUUAUUGGAGAGAGAAAAGAAAAGUAAGACAAUAUUUCUUUUUAUUUCCUAUAUUUAGUGAGAAAUUUCAUUAGGUACAUAUGUUUAACACACUGUGCGUAUUUAGAUAAGAUAAUUUAAGAGACAUAGCCUUCGUAUAUCAUCAUCAAUUAAUGACGAGCACCAAUGACAUGUAUUGUCAUCAAUAUUAUUAGUAGUAGUAGUAGCAGACGCAGCAGCAGCAGUAGUAGUAGUAGUAGUAGUAGUACUGGUUUAGCGUUCCCGCGCGGCGAAACCGUCCUGUGUGACAUGGUACUGGUUAGGCGGCGCCGCCGCCCCUCACCCCCCUGCGGUUUUGCCGCGCGGCGAAACCGCCCAGUGUGACACCGGCCUUAGUAAGACAAUGAAAAGCUGUCUUUGGUGUUGUUGCUGUUGUUGUUGCAGUUGUUGUCGUCGGCGGGAAAGGGCUCUUUAAGAAGGCGUUGAGGGGAUGGGAAGUCAAUGCCCACUUUGGGGGGGGGGGGAGUCACCAGGCCCGUCCUUGCUAU